CACAGCUUCCUCUAUAUAGUAACCUGAAGGCAGUGGACAGGUAACACAGCUUCCUCUAUAUAGUAACCUGAAGGCAGUGGACAGGUGUUACAACUUCCUCUAUAUAGUA